AGUGAACGCUGGCGGUAGGCCUAACACAUGCAAGUCGAACGGCAGCACAGUAAGAGCUUGCCCUUACGGGUGGCGAGUGGCGGAUGGGUGAGGAAUACAUCGGAAUCUACUUUUUCGUGGGGGAUAACGUAGGGAAACUGACGCUAAUACCGCAUAUGACCUACGGGUGAAAGCAGUGGAUCUUCGGACCUUGCGCGAUUGAAUGAGCCGAUGUCGGAUUAGCUAGUUGGCGGGGUAAAGGCCCACCAAGGCGACGAUCCGUAGCUGAACUGAGAGGGUGAUCAGCCACACUGGAACUGAGACACGGUCCAGACUCCUACGGGAGGCAGCAGUGGGGAAUAUUGCACAAUGGGCGAAAGCCUGAUGCAGCAAUACCGCGUGAGUGAAGAAGGCCUUCGGGUUGUAAAGCCCUUUUAUUGGGAAAGAAAAACUGUAGGUUAAUCCACCGCCGUUCUGACGGUACCCAAACAAUAAGCCCCGGCUAACUUCGUG
rnacentral:rRNA from 1 species